rnacentral:rRNA from 1 species
GACGAACGCUGGCGGCGUGCUUAACACAUGCAAGUCGAACGGAAAGGCCUCUUUCGGGGGGUACUCGAGUGGCGAACGGGUGAGUAACACGUGAGUAACCUGCCCUUGACUUUGGGAUAACUUCAGGAAACUGGGGCUAAUACCGGAUAGGAGCUCCUGCUGCAUGGUGGGGGUUGGAAAGUUUCGGCGGUUGGGGAUGGACUCGCGGGGUAUCAGCUUGUUGGUGGGGUAGUGGCUUACCAAGGCUUUGACGGGUAGCCGGACUGAGAGGGUGACCGGCCACAUUGGGACUGAGGUACGGCCCAGACUCCUACGGGAGGCAGCAGUGGGGAAGAUUGCACAAUGGGUGGAAGCCGGAUGAAGCAACGCCGUGGGCGGGAUGACGGCCUUCGGGUUGUAAACCGCUUUCGCUCAUGACGAAGCUUUGUGUGACGGUAGUGGGUAAAGAAGCACCGGCUAACUACGUG